GCUCAGGUAGCUCAACUGGUAGAGCGUGGGAUUUCUAAUCCCAUGGUUGUGGGUUCGAAUCCCACCCUGUGUA
rnacentral:tRNA from 1 species